rnacentral:lncRNA from 1 species
CAACAACAACAACUGCCUUGAGGCUGUGGGCGAAAGUGCUGAUUUGUCUUCCAACACACUGGAAGUAUAAAAGUGGCUAUAAAAAGAACAAGAGAAAUGGCAACAUCUGCUGGAGUAGCCAAAAUUGGGAAGAAGGUAUGGUGAGACACUCAAGCUGGCAGAGUGAAGAAUGCAGGAACCAGAACAGUCAAGGACUGGAGGUCAAGAGAAGAAUGCAUUUGCCAGACCAAUAGCUGCAUAUCAAGUGCCAGAGGAUGUGGUAAAUUGCUCAAGCAAUGAAACCGGUUCUGGUACCGGAGCUGCAAUUGGCAUCACCACCUGGGACUUUGCCAACAAUGUUGAACAGAGUGGUCUAAAUAUCUGUUGCCUGGCUACUCGUGUUGUUUUGCCAAAUAUUUGGGCCUCCGUGUGUUUUGAUUUUGCUCAGAUGGGCGAAGGGGAUCAGAUGGAUUUGAGAACUGUGUCUCUCUUGAGUCUACAAGAGUCCUCGGGAGAUCAGAAGAAAAACAGCCUGCUCAUUUCUGGGAAUACAAAGUUCCAGAAAAACAGGCUACAUGGUACUAACAAAGGCAGCCUUGCU